rnacentral:lncRNA from 1 species
UAAAGGUGGAUGGACAGAGAGCGGGAGCACAGGAUUAGUGUCAGACUCUUAGAACUGCAAGAAACCUCAGAAACAUGUUUGGCGAAUAUGGCCCAAGCUGGCAUCUGGAUAGACACAAUGCCUCAGGAUGCUGGAAGGAAGAGCUAAAUUAAGUGGUGCUUCGAGCAAGAGGAGGUCCUGCAGAGAAACAAUGCAUACAAGUCAUCUUGGCACAGGAUGUUUACUGCUUUGUGUAUCUGUGUCAACUGGCAGCACUAGCAUAUGCUAAGUGCCCGGAGGCAGACUGGAACAA